CCUACGGGUGACAGCAGUGAGGAAUAUUGGUCAAUGGACGCAAGUCUGAACCAGCCAAGUAGCGUGCAGGAUGACGGCCCUCCGGGUUGUAAACUGCUUUGAUUUGGGAAUAAACGGUGGCUCUUGAGCCCCGUAUUGUAUGUACCAUCAGAAAAAGGACCAGCUAAUUCCGUGCCAGCAGCCGCGGUAAUACGGAAGGUCCGGGCGUUAUCCGGCUUUAUUGGGUUUAAAGGGCGCGUAGGCCGUCUUUUAAGUCAGCUGUGAAAGUCCGCGGCUCAACCGUGGAAUUGCAGUUGAAACUGGAGGCCUUGAGUGCACACAGGGAUGCCGGAAUUCAUGGUGUAGCGGUGAAAUGCUGAGAUAUCAUGAAGAACUCCGAUCGCGAAGGCAAGUGUUCGGGGUGCAACUGACGCUGAGGCUCGAAAGUGCGGGUAUCAAACAGGAUUAGAUACCCUGGUAGUC
rnacentral:rRNA from 1 species